GACGAACGCUGGCGGCGUGCCUAAUACAUGCAAGUCGAACGAGUGGCGGACGGGUGAGUAAUGUCUGGGAAACUGCCUGAUGGAGGGGGAUAACUACUGGAAACGGUAGCUAAUACCGCAUACCAUCAGAUGUGCCCAGAUGGGAUUGGCUAGUUGGUGGGGUAACGGCUCACCAAGGGGACGAUCCCUAGCUGGUCUGAGAGGAUGACCAGCAACACUGGAACUGGGACACGCCCCGGCUCCUUCCGGGAGGAAGCAGUGGGGAACAUUGCACAAUGGGCGCAAGCCUGAUGCAGCCAUGCCGCGUAUAUGAAGAAGGCCUUCGGGUUGUAAAGUACUUUCAGCGGGGAGGCGUUACCCGCAGAAGAAGCACCGGCUAACUCCGUGCCAGCAGCCGCGGUAAUUC
rnacentral:rRNA from 1 species